GUCAACCGGUGCGGGCCGCAUCCCCUAGCGAGUGUUUACUAGAUAUUAAUUUGUAAAAAAUGAAUUGAAUAAUUGGGGUAUUAAAAAUUUGGUGAACAUUUUAUUUUAAUCAGUAAUAGCAAUGAAGAGUAAUACAAAAAAUGGUCAGAAACACAAAUUGUACACAAUAUUUUUACCCUUUUUUUCUUUGAUCCGGGGGUAAAGCUACAAUUAUUUUGUAUAUCUUGUUUAGUUAAAGUUAUCUUUGUUUUGUUUAAUAAAAAAUUAUUUUCUUUUAUUAUCUCAUUUUAUAAACAUAGAUAAACAGCUUUGGUUGGUAUAUUUAGGGAUGCAGCCGCAAAAACAAUAAAUUUUCAAAUCAACAUUUAAAAAACUGUCCGAUUGCAAAUCACACAAUCAAUUAGAAAACAAAGUGGAAUAACAAAUCAAAUGUCUCGGGAAUAUUAAUGCAACUUGUUUUUGAGUAAUAGCCACGAUCUAAGAAGGUGUUAAUUUCUGCUUUAACAACCAUCUAUUGUCUAUAUUUAUACGUAUGGCUCAAAUUUUUUUAUUCAAAAUACUUUGCAAUCAAUUAUCAAUUGAAAUAUGCAGUUUAAUUGACAUUUGGGAUUUGGUUUUGACUACUUUUUUAUUUUAUUGUUUAUUUUUGUUUUUGUAAUGCUCUCACACAUUAGAAGAAACUUUAUAAAAUUCCUUUAAUUUAAUCCUAAAUGUAAACGUAUUAAAAAAAAAAUUCAUUUUAAUUCUAAA